rnacentral:rRNA from 1 species
AGGUACUGGAAGGUCCUCAGGCCGAAAGGGGCUCUGCCCGCCCGAGGAUGGGCCGGCGGCCGAUUAGGUAGUUGGUGGGGUAACGGCCCACCAAGCCGAAGAUCGGUACGGGCCAUGAGAGUGGGAGCCCGGAGAUGGACACUGAGACACGGGUCCAGGCCCUACGGGGCGCAGCAGGCGCGAAACCUCCGCAAUGCGGGCAACCGCGACGGGGGGACCCCCAGUGCCGUGGCAACGCCACGGCUUUUCCGGAGUGUAAAAAGCUCCGGGAAUAAGGGCUGGGCAAGGCCGGUGGCAGCCGCCGCGGUAAUACCGGCGGCCCGAGUGGUGGCCGCUAUUAUUGGGCCUAAAGCGUCCGUAGCCGGGCCCGUAAGUCCCUGGCGAAAUCCCACGGCUCAACCGUGGGGCUUGCUGGGGAUACUGCGGGCCUUGGGACCGGGAGAGGCCGGGGGUACCCCUGGGGUAGGGGUGAAAUCCUAUAAUCCCAGGGGGACCGCCAGUGGCGAAGGCGCCCGGCUGGAACGGGUCCGACGGUGAGGGACGAAGGCCAGGGGAGCGAACCGGAUUAGAUACCCGGGUAGUCCUGGCUGUAAAGGAUGCGGGCUAGGUGUCGGGCGAGCUUCGAGCUCGCCCGGUGCCGAAGGGAAGCCGUUAAGCCCGCCGCCUGGGGAGUACGGCCG